GACGAACGCUGGCGGCGCGCCUAACACAUGCAAGUCGAACGGAGCUUAGAGAGCUUGCUUUUUAAGCUUAGUGGCGAACGGGUGAGUAACGCGUGAGCAACCUGCCCUAGAGUGGGGGACAACAGUUGGAAACGACUGCUAAUACCGCAUAAGCCCACGGUACCGCAUGGUACUGAGGGAAAAGGAUUUAUUCGCUUUAGGAUGGACUCGCGUCCAAUUAGCUAGUUGGUGAGGUAACGGCCCACCAAGGCAACGAUCGGUAGCCGGACUGAGAGGUUGAACGGCCACAUUGGGACUGAGACACGGCCCAGACUCCUACGGGAGGCAGCAGUGGGGGAUAUUGCGCAAUGGGGGGAAACCCUGACGCAGCAACGCCGCGUGAAGGAUGAAGGUCUUCGGAUUGUAAACUUCUUUUAUUAAGGACGAAGAAAGUGACGGUACCUGACUAAGAAGCCCCGGCUAACUACGUG
rnacentral:rRNA from 1 species